GACGAACGCUGGCGGCGUGCUUAACACAUGCAAGUCGAACGGAAAGGCCCUGCUUGCAGGGUACUCGAGUGGCGAACGGGUGAGUAACACGUGGGUGAUCUGCCCUGCACUUCGGGAUAAGCCUGGGGAACUGGGUCUAAUACCGGAUAGGAGCCAUUUUUAGUGUGAUGGUUGGAAAGUUUUUUCGGUGUAGGAUGAGCUCGCGGCCUAUCAGCUUGUUGGUGGGGUAAUGGCCUACCAAGGCGGCGACGGGUAGCCGGCCUGAGAGGGUGGACGGCCACAGUGGGACUGAGAUACGGCCCAGACUCCUACGGGAGGCAGCAGUGGGGAAUAUUGCACAAGGGGCGCAAGCCUGAUGCAGCGACGCCGCGUGGGGGAUGACGGCCUUCGGGUUGUAAACUCCUUUCGCUAGGGACGAAGCUUUUUGUGACGGUACCUAGAUAAGAAGCACCGGCUAACUACGUG
rnacentral:rRNA from 1 species